CCCCAGAGAUGUUGGCGCCAGCCAGAAUGCCUGUGGCAGCAGGGAAGAAGAUGGCGAACACCGAGAAGAACGACUCUCCAUCCCGAAAGUUAGGCCCCAAGUUUUCAGAAAAUAUAGACACUGUAGGAUGAGCAAGGUGGUCAAGUCAGCCCUGUCUGUGUUCUACUCACACUGGUAAUUGAAGAAACCCUGGGAUUUCUUGGUCUCUGUGGCAGGGAUGAAGGUUCCCACGAAUACGUUGACAAUGGCAACCAGGAGGAUGGCCAGCAGGACAAGCUGAGCCUAGAGCAAGACCACAUCGCACCGCAUGUGUCAUUACAUCAUCAUGCUUUUGCGAAACAGUCCCAGUCAUUAGCGUCUGGUAUAUUGAGGCAUGCGUUGUUACAUCAUUACUCUCCUGUUAUAUUCUCCCAGUCAUAACAGUCCCGUACAUACCAUGCCCAUUUCAAACUGUAUUUGGGUUGGCAGCUGUUCAAUUGUUGAUCAUUUUGGGCAUAUUCUUUGAUGGAUAAUCACUGCAGACCUUGUGUAGCCUUGUAAGGGGGAGGAAGGGGAGGGGUCAGCGGAGGAGGUCUGUAAUGUACAGCACGUAUUCCCUCACCUUGGCUUCCCACUCCAUACCAGCCACCGAUAUCCCCAGGAGCAGCACCACUGUGAUGCAGCCCACGAUCCUGAUGUCAUUCACCAUAUCCACCAUGAUGGCAUUGUGCUCCUGUAAAACAUCAUACCACACCAUACUGAGGAGGGGCCUCCAGAAGGGGAGGACCACCACUCAGGCUUUCCAUGGGACCAUUGGGCCAGUUAGGUCACUCACCGACACCAGCUUGACCGAACACCCAGGAGAGACGGAUGAACAGCAUCACUCCCCAGAUGUUCAGCAUGCAUCUCACCUGCAAAGGUAAAGUCAAGGUGAGACUGCAGCCGUAGCACAGCAGCAGUCACGCACACACACACACAAUAAAUACAUACACACAGAGUCACAUGACGAAAGACAAAGGAGGCCUGAAAUGCUAAUACUAAUGUAUCUGGGAAGGUUAAGGUGUAAUAUCCACGGUACAGGUAUAAUAUGCAAGUUAAAGGUGUGUAAGGUAAAGGAGUAAUGCGCAAGGUAAAGGUGUAAUGUAAAAGUUGAAGGUGUAAUACGCAAGUUGAAGGUGUAAUGUGUAAGGUAAUGGUGUAAUGUGUAAUAUGUAAGGCUCUAUCAGGUGUGCACAAAUGUGCGUGUGUGUGUGUGCAAGUGCUCACCAGCACGCCCUUGAUCCAGCCAAAUCUGACCCCUCCGCUUUUUUCUGGGGGAGAGAAGGACUCCAUGUCUUCAGAAGGUGUCCUGUCACUCCCUUCUAUUCUGUCCAUGGUGUCCAUGCCAUCAUUCUGCAAUGAGAAACAACAAGCUAAUGUCAUCCUGGAUGCGCUAGGAUGCCAAAAAAUAAGAAAACACUUUAUUAGUCUUCAUUUAUUCAUAUGAUGUAUUUGCUUUAUUCAGUUUAUACAGCAAGAUUGUUUCUACUAAUUUCCAGUAAGUUUCAGGUCAUUCCUGACGAGGGUGGGCGCAGAGACUUAACUGUGGAACCCCCAGUCUAGAAGCCCACUGUUAUGAGGACUACACUGCUACACCACUUCAAGCCUUUACCACGGCCUCUAUGCAAAACAUCAUACCAUGACCACGAUGCUCCACUUCAAUACAUCAUGCUAUAGCCACUACAGUGCACAAUAUGGCUUUCGUUUUAAGUGACAAUGGGUUUAGGACAAAUAAAAGUAUGGGGACAUUGAAUUAUGGAGGGAAAAAUUCUGUUCUUUUCCUCUUGAAAAAUGAUAUUUGGCACCAAAUGAAAACAGAGGCUAGAACAUACUCUUCUGAGGAAAAAGGAUACAGUGUAUUUCCUCUAUGAAGUUCUGUCCUUAACAUUUGUGUGCAGCCACAUACACUCAAUGCAAUUCACAUUUCUGCAGGUGGUCCCCCUUUCUAACGUUUCUAAAUGAGAGCUGAUUCCACCUCACUACCCACCCCAUAUUUAACCAAUGAAAUGCUUUAACCACAAAGCCAGUAUCUUAACCACACUGUAAUACAAUGCACACUGCCCUGCCCUGUGUUGGCUUGCUUGCCAUUCCCCUGCUACCAGUUCUGUAUUGUGUUGUUACUCUCACAACAAAAAAAAAAAAAACAUUUUUAAAUGUUAAAAUUUUUAAAGUAUCUGUAGGCAAAUAUUGAAUGUUUAGACUGCAAACAAGCAGGAACAGACCCUGCGUCUCAGUGGACCGUUCUUCUCUGAUUGCUAUAGGCUAUUGCAUUAACUGCUCUCAUUUAUGGGGAAAUAAAAUCAGAAGAUUGAUGGAUUUUCUGUGGGGAAUAAUGACUGAUAAAGUGUGUGUACAUGUUUGGGCAUGCGGUUGUCUCCCCUGUUUCUGGCCUAACUGUGUGCUACUGAUACCUGCCACCGGACGGUGCCUGCAUUUCAUGAGUGUGGGUUCCUUUUACAGUGCCAAAGAGUGAAUAUACUGCUACUCAUGCAGUGAUGUGCUUAUGUGAGCAUUUGUCUGACUCAGCAUUUCCUCAUGCUUGCAGUCAGCACCCUCUCUGGAAUUUGCCAAAAAAAUGACCUGCAUAAAUCUUUGAAAUUAAGAAAUAAAAAUAAAGAAUAAGCCUGACUGUGUG